UACGUAGGGGGCUAGCGUUGUCCGGAUUUACUGGGCGUAAAGAGCGCGCAGGCGGCUGGUCAAGUCCGAUGUGAAAGCUCCCGGCUUAACUGGGAAAUUGCAUCGGAAACUGAUCGGCUGGAAGGUGGGAGAGGGUAGUGGAAUUCCCGGUGUAGUGGUGAAAUGCGUAGAUAUCGGGAGGAACACCAGUGGCGAAGGCGACUACCUGGCCUGUUCUUGACGCUGAGGCGCGAAAGCUAGGGGAGCAAACGGG
rnacentral:rRNA from 1 species